rnacentral:rRNA from 1 species
AUUGAACGCUGGCGGCAGGCUUAACACAUGCAAGUCGAGCGGGGGAAGGUAGCUUGCUACCGGACCUAGCGGCGGACGGGUGAGUAAUGCUUAGGAAUCUGCCUAUUAGUGGGGGACAACAUCUCGAAAGGGAUGCUAAUACCGCAUACGUCCUACGGGAGAAAGCAGGGGAUCUUCGGACCUUGCGCUAAUAGAUGAGCAUAAGUCGGAUUAGCUAGUUGGUGGGGUAAAGGCCUACCAAGGCGACAAUCUGUAGCGGGUCUGAGAGGAUGAUCCGCCACACUGGGACUGAGACACGGCCCAGACUCCUACGGGAGGCAGCAGUGGGGAAUAUUGGACAAUGGGGGGAACCCUGAUCCAGCCAUGCCGCGUGUGUGAAGAAGGCCUUAUGGUUGUAAAGCACUUUAAGCGAGGAGGAGGCUACUCUAGUUAAUACCUAGGGAUAGUGGACGUUACUCGCAGAAUAAGCACCGGCUAACUCUGUGCCAGCAGCCGCGGUAA